rnacentral:lncRNA from 1 species
UCUCAAGAAUGAGAAACUAUUGGUGAUUGUUCUUGCUGACAGAACCAACAGAAACUCAAACCAAACAGCAACAACUCCUUCUCCUUCUCCUUCUGUUCCUGUAUCUCCUUCUCCUUCUCCAUUAUCCUCGCACACGUCAGAUGCAUUGGCUCCUUCACUACCACCUUCUCAGCUAAAUGGUUCGUCUCCUCCACCACCUUCUCAGGUAGAUGGUUCAUCUCCACCGCCUCUUCAGCAAGUAGGUUCAGCUCCACCGCUAGGGACUGAUGUGACAAAUCCUG